rnacentral:rRNA from 1 species
UACGGGAGGCAGCAGUGGGGAAUAUUGCACAAUGGGCGCAAGCCUGAUGCAGCCAUGCCGCGUGUAUGAAGAAGGCCUUCGGGUUGUAAAGUACUUUCAGUCGUGAGGAAGGUGUUAAGGUUAAUAACCUUAGCAAUUGACGUUAGCGACAGAAGAAGCACCGGCUAACUCCGUGCCAGCAGCCGCGGUAAUACGGAGGGUGCGAGCGUUAAUCGGAAUUACUGGGCGUAAAGGGCACGCAGGCGGUUAAUUAAGUUGGAUGUGAAAUCCCCGGGCUUAACCUGGGAAUGGCAUUCAAGACUGGUUAGCUAGAGUCUUGUAGAGGGGGUAGAAUUCCAUGUGUAGCGGUGAAAUGCGUAGAGAUGUGGAGGAAUACCGGUGGCGAAAGGCGGCCCCUGGACAAAGGACUGACGCUCAUGUGCGAAAAGCGUGGGGAGCGAAACAGGAUUAGAUACC